UAAAUUAUACUCUCUCCGUCCCA
rnacentral:siRNA from 1 species